rnacentral:rRNA from 1 species
UACGGGGGGGGCAAGCGUUGUUCGGAAUUACUGGGCGUAAAGGGCUCGUAGGCGGCCAACUAAGUCAGACGUGAAAUCCCUCGGCUUAACCGGGGAACUGCGUCUGAUACUGGAUGGCUUGAGUGUGGGAGAGGGAUGCGGAAUUCCAGGUGUAGCGGUGAAAUGCGUAGAUAUCCGAAGGAACGCCGGUGGCGAAAGCGACGGGCUGGACCCCUUCUGACGCUGAGGCGCGAAAGCCAGGGGAGCAAACGGG